rnacentral:rRNA from 1 species
UACGGAGGGUGCUAGCGUUGCUCGGAAUUACUGGGCGUAAAGGGAGCGUAGGCGGAUAGUUUAGUCAGAGGUGAAAGCCUAGGGCUCAACCUUGGAAUUGCCUUUGAUACUGGCUAUCUUGAGUACGGAAGAGGUAUGUGGAACUCCGAGUGUAGAGGUGAAAUUCGUAGAUAUUCGGAAGAACACCAGUGGCGAAGGCGACAUACUGGUCCGUUACUGACGCUGAGGCUCGAAAGCGUGGGGAGCAAACAGG